GAAUGGAAACGUGGGGUCAACCAAAUCUCCUCAAGUGGUUGCCUUCAUGAACGAACGACAAGCGGAAGAACGGGGAAAAAUGGGAUGAUCGCUUCCACUUUUCAUCAAAGAUUCGACGUUAUAACGUUACUUCAGGAGCUUAGCAGCUUGUGAAAACUGGACAGACCCACUGUAUGAUCGUGUCAAUGUUCUUGGCUGAACAAAAAUUACG